rnacentral:rRNA from 1 species
UACGGAGGAGGCAAGCGUUAUCCGGAAUUAUUGGGCGUAAAGCGUCCGUAGAUGGUUUUGUCAGUCUGCUGUCAAAGCACAGGGCUUAACCCUGUAAAGGCAGUGGAAACUACAAGACUAGAGUGCAGUAGGGGCAGAGGGAAUUCCCAGUGUAGCGGUGAAAUGCGUAGAGAUUGGGAAGAGCAUCCGUGGCGAAAGCGCUCUGCUGGACUGCAACUGACAUUGAGGGACGAAAGCUAGGGGAGCGAAUGGG